rnacentral:rRNA from 1 species
GACGAACGCUGGCGGCGUGCUUAACACAUGCAAGUCGAACGGAAAGGCCCUGCUUUUGUGUGGUGCUCGAGUGGCGAACGUGUGAGUAACACGUGAGUAACCUUCCCUUGACUUUGGGAUAACUUCAGGCAACUGGUGCUAAUACCUGAUAGGAGCUCCUGCUGCAUGGUGGGGGUUGGAAAUUUUCGGCGGUUGGGGAUGGACUCGCGGCUUAUCAGCUUGUUGGUUGGGUAGUGGCUUACCAAGGCUUUGAAGGGUAGCCGGCCUGAGAGGGUGACCGGCCACAUUGGGACUGAGAUACGGCCCAGACUCCUACGGGAGGCAGCAGUGGGGAAUAUUGCACAAUGGGCGGAAGCCUGAUGCAGCAACGCCGCGUGCGGGAUGAAGGCCUUCGGGUUGUAAACCGCUUUCGCCUGUGACGAAGCGUGAGUGACGGUAAUGGGUAAAGAAGCACCGGCUAACUACGUG